rnacentral:rRNA from 1 species
GGGGAAUAUUGGACAAUGGGCGCAAGCCUGAUCCAGCCAUGCCGCGUGUGUGAAGAAGGCCUUCGGGUUGUAAAGCACUUUCAGUGGGGAGGAAGGGGUUGUAGUUAAUAGCUGCAAUUUUUGACGUUACCCACAGAAGAAGCACCGGCUAACUCCGUGCCAGCAGCCGCGGUAAUACGGAGGGUGCAAGCGUUAAUCGGAAUUACUGGGCGUAAAGCGCACGCAGGCGGCUUUUUAAGUCGGAUGUGAAAGCCCCGGGCUCAACCUGGGAAUUGCAUCUGAUACUGGGAAGCUAGAGUAUGUGAGAGGGGGGUAGAAUUCCAAGUGUAGCGGUGAAAUGCGUAGAGAUUUGGAGGAAUACCAGUGGCGAAGGCGGCCCCCUGGCACAAUACUGACGCUCAGGUGCGAAAGCGUGGGGAGCAAAC